GAUGAACGCUGGCGGCGUGCCUAAUACAUGCAAGUCGAGCGAACGGACGAGAAGCUUGCUUCUCUGAUGUUAGCGGCGGACGGGUGAGUAACACGUGGAUAACCUACCUAUAAGACUGGGAUAACUUCGGGAAACCGGAGCUAAUACCGGAUAAUAUUUUGAACCGCAUGGUUCAAAAGUGAAAGACGGUCUUGCUGUCACUUAUAGAUGGAUCCGCGCUGCAUUAGCUAGUUGGUAAGGUAACGGCUUACCAAGGCAACGAUGCAUAGCCGACCUGAGAGGGUGAUAGGCCACCCGGGAACUGAGACACGGUCCAGACUACUAAGGGAGGCAGCAGUAGGGAAUCUUCCGCAAUGGGCGAAAGCCUGACGGAGCAACGCCGCGUGAGUGAUGAAGGUCUUCGGAUCGUAAAAAUCUGUUAUUAGGGAAGAACAUAUGUGUAAGUAACUGUGCACAUCUUGACGGUACCUAAUCAGAAAGCCACGGCUAACUACGUG
rnacentral:rRNA from 1 species